GUUUGCUAAGCAUCAGCUUUCAUCUCUCUGUCGACUCGAUCAUCUAUCCCAAGGUCCAACAUGAACAUCGCUGAUAUCACCGAAGACCUGACAGUGGUCUUGUCCUCAGUAAGCAGUCUCUCAGUCUUCAAUGAUAUUCUGUCGGUCGGUGCCCUGGCACUGGGCUUCAUCGUAGUGGUGCUCUUGAGCGUGGCCCUAGUACAGUCCCUGGAUGGAAUUCUCUCCAAAGGCCUCACUAACACUCCGCUCAGCGGGUUGCAACCCAUACUGGACGAGCUCGGCGACAAAGUCACCCAGUCGCUGGAGAAAUUCAGCUUUCCCGACGUGUCCAAGAAGCGAGUGUCCUAAAUCUGACAGAAAAUUAUUGCUGUUAUCUCAGAGUCCUUAAUAUUUGUUUUUCUUCUUCUACUACUUCUUCUUCUUCGUCUUCUUCUUUUUCUUUUUCUUCGUCUUCUUCCUUUUCUUCUUAUUUCUUGGCAGCUGAAGAGUCAACGAAAAAAAGGACAAGGUUUAAAUUUAGAUAAGAUUCUAUUUUUAAUAGAAGCAGACGCCCAUUUCUGGCACCGUCUUUGCUGUUUACGUUUCGUGGUUGUUGUCUCUGUUGUUAUUAGCUUGCAAAUUUCCCUUUUA